rnacentral:rRNA from 1 species
UACGUAGGUGGCGAGCGUUGUUCGGAUUCACUGGGCGUAAAGGGUGCGUAGGUGGCCAGGUAAGUUCGGUGUGAAAGCUCGGAGCUUAACUCCGAAAUGUCAUUGAAUACUAUCUGGCUAGAGGGUCGGAGGGGAGACUGGAAUUCUCGGUGUAGCAGUGAAAUGCGUAGAUAUCGAGAGGAACACCAGUGGCGAAGGCGAGUCUCUGGACGACACCUGACACUGAGGCACGAAAGCUAGGGGAGCAAACAGG